AGCCCCAAAAGCUAAAUGGCCAGCUGUUAA
rnacentral:tRNA from 1 species